UGGGGAAUAUUGCACAAUGGGCGCAAGCCUGAUGCAGCCAUGCCGCGUGUGUGAAGAAGGCCUUCGGGUUGUAAAGCACUUUCAGCGGGGAGGAAGGCGAUAAGGUUAAUAACCUUGUCGAUUGACGUUACCCGCAGAAGAAGCACCGGCUAACUCCGUGCCAGCAGCCGCGGUAAUACGGAGGGUGCAAGCGUUAAUCGGAAUUACUGGGCGUAAAGCGCACGCAGGCGGUCUGUCAAGUCGGAUGUGAAAUCCCCGGGCUCAACCUGGGAACUGCAUUCGAAACUGGCAGGCUAGAGUAUUGUAGAGGGGGGUAGAAUUCCAGGUGUAGCGGUGAAAUGCGUAGAGAUCUGGAGGAAUACCGGUGGCGAAGGCGGCCCCCUGGACAAAGACUGACGCUCAGGUGCGAAAGCGUGGGGAGCAAACAGG
rnacentral:rRNA from 1 species